rnacentral:lncRNA from 1 species
GGUGCCUUCGUACACCUUCCCUGUGGUCUCGCCGGCCGCCUUCAUAAUCUGCACCACCUUCAUCUUCGGCGAUAUGCUUACUCCGGCGAUCUCCAAUCACUUGGUCGCUUGAGUUUACAUCUGGCGACUUCAUCUUUAACCUGGUGAUCGCCGGGUCUGGUAUGCUGGAGAUCGGAGCACGCCAACUUAAUAACUGGCGACUACACGAGUCCCCCGACUUCUUCCCUUCUGCCAACCUGGCGUCUUGUCAACACGCCUAUACUGUAGCUGGAUACCACGUCAUCACUUCCAACUACCAGGGCGGUACAGAUAUGUUUAAUACUUC